rnacentral:rRNA from 1 species
GACGAACGCUGGCGGCGUGCCUAAUACAUGCAAGUCGAACGCACAGUUUAUACUGUAGCUUGCUACACCAUAGACUGUGAGUUGAGAACGGGUGAGUAACGCGUUGGUAAACUGCCUGGUAGCGGGGGAUAACUAUUGGACACGAUAGCUAAUACCGCAUACUAUUAAUUAUUGCAUGAUAAUUAAUUGUAAGGUGCAAUUGCACCACUACCAGAUGGACCUGCGUUGUAUUAGCUAGUAGGUGAGGUAACGGCUCACCUAGGCGACGAUACAUAGCCGACCUGAGAGGGUGAUCGGGCACACUGGCACUGAGAAACGGCCCAGACUCCUACGGGAGGCAGCAGUAGGGAAUCCUCCGCGAUGGACGAAAGUCUGACCGAGCAACGUCGCGGGAGUGAUGAAGGUGUCCGGAUCGGAAAGCGCUGUUGGAAGUGAAGAACGAAUGUUAUAGUAGAAAGGACGCUCUGGACGGUAAUCUUACCAGAAGGGCACGCCAAACUACGG